GGUUAAGCUUGUAGAAAGCCCAUGUCAACAGAGGGAAACACUGUGACCACCUGUGUACUUUGGCUGCAAUAGUGUGUACACAACAAGUGCAUACAAAGGCCUGGGAAAAACACAGGAAAGCAAAAGUUGAGUGGUUUCAACUUGAUUACAUGCUUGAGGCACAGCACUCACUUAAGAUGUGUUUCCAGAGCUCAAGGGCCCUAAGCCAUCAAGAGGCCCCCAUUACUGGGACAAUGUGCAUUCUAUUCUAUUGGUAAAACAGGUAUCUGCAAAACGAUCUGAAGGAUGAAGACAUGUCCUGGCAAAAUUACUUUGUGGAAGCUUCAAAGUCAGCUAUCAUUUGCGGGAUCCCAGCAGUAGAAGAGAGAAACGGGGGCAGAAAACUUAUGUGAAGAAUAGCUGAGAAGUUCCUCAAUCUGGAAAGGAAACAGCCAGAUCCAGGAAGCAUGGAGAGCCCCUAACAAGAUGAACCCAAGGAGCACCACAUCAAGACACAUAACAAUUAAAAUAGCAAAAAAAGUAAUGGUAAAAGAGAGAAUCUUAAAAGGAGAAAAAGAAAAUAAUGAUGUGCAAGAGAAACCCCAUAAAGCACUCUACUGACAUUUCAGCAGAAACUGCACAGGCCAAAAGAGAGUAGUGUGAAAUAUUCCAAAUACUAAAAGGAAAAGAACCUGCAACCAAGAAUACUAUACCCAGAAACAGUAUCAUUCAGAAUAGCAGGAGAGAUAAAGGGUUUUCCAAACAAAAUUUAAAUGAGUACAUUACCAGUGAACCAGCCUUAAAAGAAACAUUAAUGGGAAUUAUUUAAGUGGAAAGAAAAGGCCAUAACUAGAAUUGAGAAAAUUAAGAAAGGGAAAAUUUUCAUAGGUAAAAAGCAAACAUGGUAAAAUCAGUAGAUUAAUCACUUACAAAGCCAGUAUAUAGAUUAAAAUAUAAAAGUAGUAAAAUAUAUUUAUAAAAAUUAGCCAAGGGGUACAUAAAAUAAAAUGACAUAAAAUAUGACAUACAUAAGAUGUGGAGGGGAGAGUAAAAAUGUAGUGCUUUUAGAUGUAUUUGGACUUAAGUGGCCAUUAACUUAAUAUAGACUGCUAUACACAUAAGAUGUUAUAUAUGAAACUAAUGGUAGCCACAAAUUAAAAAUAUAUGAUGCACACAUACAAAAAAAAUGGAGAAAGGAAUCCAAGCAUAGACCAUAAAACUACAAGGGAAAAGAACAAGAAGAAAGUAACAGAAGAACUUCAAAAACAACUAGAAAACAACAAAAUAGCAGUACAUACCUAUCAAAAGUCACUUUAAAUGUAAGUGAACUAA